UGUGCCAUUGCACUCCAGCCUGGGUGACAGAGUGAGACUCUGUCUCAAAAAAAUAAAAAAUAAAUGAAUAAAUAUUCCCACUUGGAAUGAUUCAUUUGGUUGGAAGAUGUUCACCUGCAAAUAGGGAGGGCUACCUCCCUCUCCUAAAAAAUGAAAGGUAUCAUUGAGUUUUGUAUUAAAAACUCCAGGUUGCCAUAUGCAUCCUGCCUCCCUUCCUCUCUCUCUUCUAUGGUGACAGGCUCUGCCUUUUCCCAUGGUACCCUAGAAACUGCGAAUGCAAUGACAAUAUGGAGAGCAGGGACAGAAAGGAAGGGGAUAGGGUCUCCCUCUGUCUCCCAGGCUGGAGUGCAAUGGUGGGAUCUUGGCUCACUGCAGCUUUGAACUCCUGGGCUCAAGCGAUCCUCUCACUUCAACCUCCUGAGUAGCUGGGACUACAGGGCUUCUUCGCUGGAAUGAGGAAGAGGAGGAAGCCAAGGAAGACAGAGACUGUGGCAUCAGUACGGUAGCCUUUCCUAGUAAAGAGACAAGCAUAGCUGAGGAGAAGGGUCAGGAAUUUUCAGGAGUAACAUGAUGUCUCGGAGCAGUCUGUCCGAACACAGUGCCUCUUUUUAGGACUUAUCUAGAGGUAACAUUAAGCUUAGUUCUUGCCAGUUGCUGCCACGCUAUCCACUUUGGAUUUAAUGGGCAAUGGCGAAUGUCUGGAGGCAGGGCCUGGCUAGAGUAGAUGUCUUAAUGUGAAUUUGUGAGCCCGUUAAUUGGGGCAAGUCCUAGAUGGAGUGAUCAGGAGUGGAGUUGGUUAGAUAAAGGAGAAUAGAAGAGGAUGAGACCUCUUUCCUAUGAAGGCCACACCUCCAUGUGCCUCCCUUCUCAAGUGAGAAGUUGAUUUCUUCUUUACAGUUGGUACUUUAUAGAUGUUUCCUCCUUUAACUUUCAUAACCACCUAUGAGGUAACCAAGCUUCCAAGAGCUUAUGUAAUGAGACUACAUGCAGCACUGGAUUCCAACCCCAGACCGGGACUCCAAAGAGUGUUUUUCCUUCCUGAUUUCACACUGCAGCCUCCCUAAAAAGAGUGGAUUUCCUGGGGAAUGAAAUCUUCCUGGCUUCAUAUCUGCCCCUGAGAGUCUAUGAAGUCUUGCCUGAAGAAUUGGGGUGAGGGGGUUGUUCUUAAGGAGGAAAUGAUAUCACUUACUUUUCAAAGAAAGAAUCCCAGCCAGGGACAAAGCCAGGCUCCCGGGUAAACCACAGUACGGUCAUCAGGAUGAAGAAAAAUCCAGUCACCAUUUCUGGGUAGCUAUAAAAUAAAACAGAAAGACCCACUCAGGAACUGAGAAAUUUCUCCUAGCUUUUUCACUUUGCUUCUGGAAGCUUCUGUAUUUAGAGUUUCAAUACCCUAGACAUAAAACACACUCACUGCCUAACCACUAUGAAUGGCUGACAGUGAGAUGAGGAGAAGACUGAGUGGCCCCAGAAAACAUGACAUUAACCAUGUUCCUGGAGAAACUUCAGUAGAAAGGGCAAGAGAACACAGCACUGUACAUUUGUAAAAUAAUUUCAAAUACAGCCUACAAGGAGAGUGCAGUGAAAUAGGCAGCCCCAAACACUGUGCUGGUGGGAGGAGGAAUUGCUACAACCUUUUUGAGGCCAUUUGAUGAUACACAUUAGAAGCCUUAAAGUUGGUCAUUCCCUGGCUGGGUGUGGUGGCCCACGCCCGUAAUCCCAGCACUUUGGGAGGCCGAGGUGGGCGGAUCAUGAGGUCAGGAGAUGGAGACCAUCCUGGCUAACACAGUGAAACCCCAUCUCUACUAAAAAUGCAAAAAAUUAGCUGGGCGUGGUGUCACGUGCCUGUAGUCCCAGUUACUCGGGAGGCUGAGGCAGGAGAAUCGCUUGAACCCAGGAGGUGGAGGUUUCAGCGAGCCAAGAUUGUGCCACUGCACUCCAGACUGGGCAAAAGGGUGAGACUCCAUCCCAAAAAAAAAAAAAAAAAAAAAAAAAUAGUUGGUCAUUCCCAUCAUCUAACCAGAAAUGCAUACUGAGACAUUAAUUACCUAUUAAAAAAUGGAAGCAUCCUCUAUAUCCAAUGGUAUUUCAUGACACUGAAUACAUUUUGAUACAACUCUGUGUUAAAAUGAGAUGCAUCCAUUGAUAAUCCCAUUUCCACAGCAGAGUUAAGGAUGUGGAACAUACUGUACUGAGAGUACAAAGUUGAGUUGAGAAAGGCAAGGUAUACAACAGUUUCAGUGUGGACUGAAUUUUACCAAAAAUACAUAAGAGUUUUGCACAAAAAAGCAUGGAAAGAAGUGUUAACAUGGGGUGCUAAGAAUCCAGUCAAUUUUGAUUUUUUUUCUUAUACUGUCUUGUAUUUUUGAAAUGUUCUACAAUGAACAUGUAUUCCUUUUAUAACUUAAAGCUUUAAAUAAGA
rnacentral:lncRNA from 1 species